rnacentral:rRNA from 1 species
GAUGAACGCUGGCGGCGUGCCUAAUACAUGCAAGUCGAGCGAACGGACGAGAAGCUUGCUUCUCUGAUGUUAGCGGCGGACGGGUGAGUAACACGUGGAUAACCUACCUAUAAGACUGGGAUAACUUCGGGAAACCGGAGCUAAUACCGGAUAAUAUUUUGAACCGCAUGGUUCAAAAGUGAAAGAAGGUCUUGCUGUCACUUAUAGAUGGAUCCGCGCUGCAUUAGCUAGUUGGUAAGGUAACGGCUUACCAAGGCAACGAUGCAUAGCCGACCUGAGAGGGUGAUCGGCCAAACUGGAACUGAAACACGGUCCCGACUCCUACGGGAAGCAGCAGUAGGGAAUCUUCCGCAAUGGGCGGAAGCCUGACGGAGCAACGCCGCGUGAGUGAUGAAGGUCUUCGGAUCGUAAAACUCUGUUAUUAGGGAAGAACAUAUGUGUAAGUAACUGUGCACAUCUUGACGGUACCUAAUCAGAAAGCCACGGCUAACUACGUG